CCUACGGGAGGCAGCAGUGGGGAAUUUUCCGCAAUGGGCGAAAGCCUGACGGAGCAACGCCGCGUGAGGGAUGAAGGCCUCUGGGCUGUAAACCUCUUUUAUCAAGGAAGAAGAUCUGACGGUACUUGAUGAAUAAGCCACGGCUAAUUCCGUGCCAGCAGCCGCGGUAAUACGGGAGUGGCAAGCGUUAUCCGGAAUUAUUGGGCGUAAAGCGUCCGCAGGCGGUCUUGUAAGUCUGUCGUUAAAGCGUGGAGCUCAACUCCAUUUCGGCGGUGGAAACUACAAGACUAGAGUGUGGUAGGGGCAGAGGGAAUUCCCGGUGUAGCGGUGAAAUGCGUAGAUAUCGGGAAGAACACCAGUGGCGAAGGCGCUCUGCUGGGCCAUAACUGACGCUCAUGGACGAAAGCUAGGGGAGCGAAAGGGAUUAGAUACCCCUGUAGUCCUAGCCGUAAACGAUGAACACUAGGUGUCGGGGGAAUCGACCCCCUCGGUGUCGUAGCUAACGCGUUAAGUGUUCCGCCUGGGGAGUACGCACGCAAGUGUGAAACUCAAAGGAAUUGACGGNNGNGAGNGCGAGCGACGACGAGGGAGAG
rnacentral:rRNA from 1 species